UUCGACACACUAUCAUUAACUGAAUCCAUAGGUUAAUGAGGCGAACCGGGGGAACUGAAACAUCUAAGUACCCCGAGGAAAAGAAAUCAACCGAGAUUCCCCCAGUAGCGGCGAGCGAACGGGGAGCAGCCCAGAGCCUGAAUCAGUAUGUGUGUUAGUGGAAGCGUCUGGAAAGGCGCGCGAUACAGGGUGACAGCCCCGUACACAAAAAUGCACAUGCUGUGAGCUCGAUGAGUAGGGCGGGACACGUGGUAUCCUGUCUGAAUAUGGGGGGACCAUCCUCCAAGGCUAAAUACUCCUGACUGACCGAUAGUGAACCAGUACCGUGAGGGAAAGGCGAAAAGAACCCCGGCGAGGGGAGUGAAAAAGAACCUGAAACCGUGUACGUACAAGCAGUGGGAGCACGCUUAGGCGUGUGACUGCGUACCUUUUGUAUAAUGGGUCAGCGACUUAUAUUCUGUAGCAAGGUUAACCGAAUAGGGGAGCCGAAGGGAAACCGAGUCUUAACUGGGCGUUAAGUUGCAGGGUAUAGACCCGAAACCCGGUGAUCUAGCCAUGGGCAGGUUGAAGGUUGGGUAACACUAACUGGAGGACCGAACCGACUAAUGUUGAAAAAUUAGCGGAUGACUUGUGGCUGGGGGUGAAAGGCCAAUCAAACCGGGAGAUAGCUGGUUCUCCCCGAAAGCUAUUUAGGUAGCGCCUCGUGAAUUCAUCUCCGGGGGUAGAGCACUGUUUCGGCAAGGGGGUCAUCCCGACUUACCAACCCGAUGCAAACUGCGAAUACCGGAGAAUGUUAUCACGGGAGACACACGGCGGGUGCUAACGUCCGUCGUGAAGAGGGAAACAACCCAGACCGCCAGCUAAGGUCCCAAAGUCAUGGUUAAGUGGGAAACGAUGUGGGAAGGCCCAGACAGCCAGGAUGUUGGCUUAGAAGCAGCCAUCAUUUAAAGAAAGCGUAAUAGCUCACUGGUCGAGUCGGCCUGCGCGGAAGAUGUAACGGGGCUAAACCAUGCACCGAAGCUGCGGCAGCGACGCUGAUGCGUUGUUGGGUAGGGGAGCGUUCUGUAAGCCUGCGAAGGUGUGCUGUGAGGCAUGCUGGAGGUAUCAGAAGUGCGAAUGCUGACAUAAGUAACGAUAAAGCGGGUGAAAAGCCCGCUCGCCGGAAGACCAAGGGUUCCUGUCCAACGUUAAUCGGGGCAGGGUGAGUCGACCCCUAAGGCGAGGCCGAAAGGCGUAGUCGAUGGGAAACAGGUUAAUAUUCCUGUACUUGGUGUUACUGCGAAGGGGGGACGGAGAAGGCUAUGUUGGCCGGGCGACGGUUGUCCCGGUUUAAGCGUGUAGGCUGGUUUUCCAGGCAAAUCCGGAAAAUCAAGGCUGAGGCGUGAUGACGAGGCACUACGGUGCUGAAGCAACAAAUGCCCUGCUUCCAGGAAAAGCCUCUAAGCAUCAGGUAACAUCAAAUCGUACCCCAAACCGACACAGGUGGUCAGGUAGAGAAUACCAAGGCGCUUGAGAGAACUCGGGUGAAGGAACUAGGCAAAAUGGUGCCGUAACUUCGGGAGAAGGCACGCUGAUAUGUAGGUGAAGUCCCUCGCGGAUGGAGCUGAAAUCAGUCGAAGAUACCAGCUGGCUGCAACUGUUUAUUAAAAACACAGCACUGUGCAAACACGAAAGUGGACGUAUACGGUGUGACGCCUGCCCGGUGCCGGAAGGUUAAUUGAUGGGGUUAGCGCAAGCGAAGCUCUUGAUCGAAGCCCCGGUAAACGGCGGCCGUAACUAUAACGGUCCUAAGGUAGCGAAAUUCCUUGUCGGGUAAGUUCCGACCUGCACGAAUGGCGUAAUGAUGGCCAGGCUGUCUCCACCCGAGACUCAGUGAAAUUGAACUCGCUGUGAAGAUGCAGUGUACCCGCGGCAAGACGGAAAGACCCCGUGAACCUUUACUAUAGCUUGACACUGAACAUUGAGCCUUGAUGUGUAGGAUAGGUGGGAGGCUUUGAAGUGUGGACGCCAGUCUGCAUGGAGCCGACCUUGAAAUACCACCCUUUAAUGUUUGAUGUUCUAACGUUGACCCGUAAUCCGGGUUGCGGACAGUGUCUGGUGGGUAGUUUGACUGGGGCGGUCUCCUCCUAAAGAGUAACGGAGGAGCACGAAGGUUGGCUAAUCCUGGUCGGACAUCAGGAGGUUAGUGCAAUGGCAUAAGCCAGCUUGACUGCGAGCGUGACGGCGCGAGCAGGUGCGAAAGCAGGUCAUAGUGAUCCGGUGGUUCUGAAUGGAAGGGCCAUCGCUCAACGGAUAAAAGGUACUCCGGGGAUAACAGGCUGAUACCGCCCAAGAGUUCAUAUCGACGGCGGUGUUUGGCACCUCGAUGUCGGCUCAUCACAUCCUGGGGCUGAAGUAGGUCCCAAGGGUAUGGCUGUUCGCCAUUUAAAGUGGUACGCGAGCUGGGUUUAGAACGUCGUGAGACAGUUCGGUCCCUAUCUGCCGUGGGCGC
rnacentral:rRNA from 1 species